UACAGAGGGGGCAAGCGUUGUUCGGAAUUACUGGGCGUAAAGGGCGCGUAGGCGGCCUUCUAAGUCGAAACGUGAAAUCCCCGGGCUCAACCCGGGAACUGCGUCCGAUACUGGAAGGCUUGGAAUCCGGGAGAGGGAUGUGGAAUUCCAGGUGUAGCGGUGAAAUGCGUAGAUAUCUGGAGGAACACCGGUGGCGAAGGCGAACAUCCUGGACCGGUAUUGACGCUGAGGC
rnacentral:rRNA from 1 species